GGACUUGUGGCGCAAUGGUAGCGUGUCUGAUUCCAGCUCAGAAUGUUGUGUGUUCAAAUCACAUCAAGAUCA